GAAAUACUAUCAAGAGUCAAUUCCCAUUUUACUUCUUUCCAAGUGCAUCCAUAAGCCUUGCGAUCUCUGCAUCUUUCUUGUCCAAGCGGUCUUUGAGGUACUCAAUUUCAACACGGAUUUGGUUAAUCUGGAGACGAUUACUAUCACCUCCAUAUU
rnacentral:sRNA from 1 species